AAAAAAAGUACUGUUGUAAAAUGGUCUUAUUUCACUCCACAUUCUAACUUCCACCAAGUGGUGAGGUCACAAUGUUCUGGUUGGGUAAUGGGAUGCUCUGAGAAAUACAACAGAAGCUCCAGGCAGAUCUGAGAGAAUGACCAGAUAAGUCCUAAUUUUCCCUAUGAAGUUCUUUCUGAUCAUUUUUUUAUUUGGACUUUCAGGGAUUAACAAAAAUUUCAGCACUUUAAUAGGUCUCCAUAGGAGAGAAACUCCAUUUUUAUCAAGAUACAAUGAAUACAGUAACAAAAGCACUGAAGAUAAUAGUGACAUUAACAACAACAAUGAUAAUGACGAUGACGACGAAGACGACGACGAUGAAGAUGACGAUGAUGACGAAAACAACGAUGAUGAUGAUGAUGACAAUGAUGAUGAUGAUGAUACUGAGGAAUAUAUAGCUCCAUUUGAAUUGUCAACUGAAGAAACUUCAGCUUCCUUUUCUACUGAAGUGAGUUCUACAUUAAAUGACAGUAUGCAGACCUUGCUAAAGUACUAUCCUAAGCAACACAUCCAACCAUCAGACAGAGAAGAUCUAAAGAUAAAAUUAAUGCUGGGUAUAGCAUUGUUGGCUCUCCUCCUUUUUCUAAUCCUCUUGUUUAUUAGUUGUUUUGCCUUCUAUCAAGGGCAGAAGGAAUGUCCUAAAAUAUAUAAACAACAAAACAAUGUUACCACCAAACCUGAACUAGCAGACCUGUCUUAUUUUCAACCAGCAGAAGGUAUAUCAGACACUUCCUUUUCUAACAGUCCAGCUAGUAGCACAGUCUGGAAGCCUGAAUAUAGAGAAAUAAAAAAAGAAACUUUCAGAACAAAGGAGGCAACUGCACUAUCACUUCUACAUGACGCUGAUGCACGAUGCAUGAAGCUAGUAUUUGGCAAUGAAGUACCAAGCAAAGAAUUGGAUCUAAGUAGUGUUGAGCCACACACCAUGGAGACGUCUUAUGAUGAGAUGUGUAGCAAGGAGAUGUCUAGUGAGGAGCUGGGGAGUUGCCCCAAAACUCAAGAUAGCUGAAAAUAGAACUUUUUUCAUAAAAAUAAAAAUGAUUUAUCUUGGUGAGCCA
rnacentral:lncRNA from 1 species